ACGGGGGGAGCAAGCGUUGUUCGGAUUUACUGGGCGUAAAGGGUGUCUAGGCGGUUGGGCAAGUCAGGUGUGAAAUCCCACGGCUCAACCGGGGGGGUGCGCUGGAAACUGGUUAUCUUGAGUACGGAAGAGGAUAGUGGAAUUCCUGGUGUAGCGGUGAAAUGCGUAGAUAUCAGGAAGAACAUCGGAGGUGAAGGCGGCUAUCUGGACCGAUACUGACGCUUAUGCGCGAAAGCGUGGGGAUCAAACAG
rnacentral:rRNA from 1 species